rnacentral:rRNA from 1 species
UACGUAGGCAGCGAGCGUUGUUCGGAGUUACUGGGCGUAAAGAGUGCGUAGGCGGUUUUCUAAGUUUGGUGUGAAAUCUCCCGGCUUAACUGGGAGGGUGCGCCGAAAACUGGAAGGCUUGAGUAUGGGAGAGGUAAGCGGAAUUCCUGGUGUAGCGGUGAAAUGCGUAGAUAUCAGGAGGAACACCUGCGGUGUAGACGGCUUACUGGACCAUAACUGACGCUGAGGCGCGAAAGCGUGGGGAGCGAACAGG